AGCCACCAUGUAGUUGUUGGGAACUGAACUCAGGACCUCUGUAAGAGCAGCCAAUGCUACUGACAUCUCUGCAGCCCCCAUGGCCCAUGGAGGUCAGAGGUCAAUUUGUAAGAGUUGUUUCUCUUCCUGGGCUCAUUUGAGUACCAGGAAUUAAACUUGGGCCCCAAGGCUUGGCAGUGAUGGUUCUACCUAUAACCAUCUUGCCUGGCCUGCAUGGCCAUUUUUAAAGGCAAACCCCUCAGCUGUUUUUCUCCUUGUUCAGAGACUAUAGGAUGUCCCUUCUUUCCUCACUUGAUGCAGGAACCCAGGGGACCAGUCUGUACAGGAAGUCCAGGGUGAAGUGCUAACCAGGCUGGGCAGACAUGCUCCCCAAGUUUCCUCUUUCUUCUGGGGCUGGGUGUUGGGUGUGGAUGACCCCAGUGUUAUUUUUAAUUCCAGAUCCACACAAUCUAAAGAUCUCCUGUCGAGUGAAUGGGGAGAUUGUCCAGAGCAGCAACACCAACCAGAUGGUGUUCAAGACUGAAGAUCUGAUAGCCUGGGUCUCCCAGUUUGUCACUCUGUACCCAGGGGACAUUCUCCUGACUGGGACUCCUCCAGGUGUUGGCAUGUUUAGGAAGCCUCCUGUCUUUCUCAAGGUAAGUUAGUUCAGAAGAGGAGAGCCAGGAGGCCUGUAAAGCUUGAAGCAGCCCAGGGGGCGAGUCUAAGGGGAGAGCAUGUUCAGGAGCC
rnacentral:lncRNA from 1 species